AUGCAAAAGAAAAGAGAAAAGAAUGUAGGGAAAAUAAAGUUGUACUCGCUUGGGCCCUACCCCAAAGUCUACGUAUCAUUUUUAAGGAAUCAGAACUACUGUAGUUCGGAUUCAAAAGUUUUUGUUGAUUUGUAUUUUUUAAUGAACAAUAUUAAUUUCGCCUUCUGCCGCAACUCGACCUUGGGAGACUUACGCGCCAACACAAAAGUGAAUUAA